UCCUACGGGGGGCAGCAGUGAGGAAUAUUGGUCAAUGGCCGAGAGGCUGAACCAGCCAAGUCGCGUGAGGGAUGACGGCCCUACGGGUUGUAAACCUCUUUUGUCGGGGAGCAAGACUCGCCUCGUGCAGGCGGAGCGAGAGUACCCGAAGAAAAAGCAUCGGCUAACUCCGUGCCAGCAGCCGCGGUAAUACGGAGGAUGCGAGCGUUAUCCGGAUUUAUUGGGUUUAAAGGGUGCGCAGGCGGACCAUCAAGUCAGCGGUAAAAUCGUGGGGCCCAACCCCAUCUCGCCGCUGAAACUGGCGG
rnacentral:rRNA from 1 species